rnacentral:rRNA from 1 species
UCCGUAGGUGAACCUGCGGAAGGAUCAUUACUUGGCCUUGGGCCGCUCACGAGGGACCGUCGCUUGCGGCGGCGCUCUCGAGGGUGCUUAGCCCUUGAUCACUACCUUGACUAUGCGCACCUUUGUUGUUCCCUCGGCAGGACGCUUCGCGUUCUGCCGCAAGGAACCCCUUAAACCUUUUGCAAUGAGCAUUAAACUUCUGAAAAAAACCUAAUUAUUUACAACUUUUAACAAUGGAUCUCUUGGUUCUGGCAUCGAUGAAGAACGCAGCGAAAUGCGAUAAGUAGUGUGAAUUGCAGAAUUCAGUGAAUCAUCGAAUCUUUGAACGCACAUUGCGCCCCUUGGUACUCCAUGGGGCAUGCCUGUUCGAGCGUCAUUUACACCCUCAAGCUCAGCUUGGUGUUGGGCGUCUGUCCCGCUUCGUGCGCGGACUCGCCUCAAAUGCAUUGGCAGCGGUCUUGCCAGCUUCUCGCGCAGCACAUUGCGCUUCUAGAGGCUUUGGCGGAUCGGCGUCCAUCAAGUACACCCACAGUUUGACCUCGGGAUCAGGGGUAGGGGGGAUACCCGGCUGGAACUUAAGGCAUAUCAAUAAGGCGGGAGGGAAGGUCGGACUGGCCAAGGGGCACACAGGGGGGGGGAUA